AAGAGAAAUGAGGUUCCGAUCGGUGCACAACCGAUCGGCACAACCAAGCGGCAAUGCACACAUCCUUCUUCACCGUACGGACGAGUGGCUCCGAUCGGUUGUGCAACCGAUCGGACCAACCGAUUGGAAGUGCGGAUGGAUCUUUCUCUUCACUUGGUUCAAUACUCCCCCGCAAGCUUGAGCGUCGGGACAAUAAGGACCAAAGGUCAAGCUUGGAGAUCUUCGGCCUUGUCUUCAUGACUUCCGCCUUGACUCCCUUCUACUUCUUCUUCUCUUUCUUGAAGAUGGCUUGGCCUCUUCGGCCUCUCUCUUCUUUCCUUCUUAUAUUUUAAUACCCUCCCGCACGUUUGAUCGUCGGGACAACAUGAGGACCAGAGAUCAAGCGUGGACUCGUGUCGACUACCUCAUUAAAAACCUUAACAAAGAAAACCACUUGGGAUAAAACUUUGUUAAGGGAAAAAGAGUAUAGCCUUCACGGUCCUUGAUGUCGCUAUGAUCUUGGUUUGUUAAGAACCGGCUCUCUUCUCUUCAAGUCUUUGAACCGCUACACUGCCUUUAACUCGCUUCUCAUGAUCUCCAAUCUUGCACUUCUCGAAUUUCUUUGAGGCUCUCAUAGUCUCCUUUACCCUUUAAACAAGUGAUAAAGAAGAAUAUAUAAGUGUAUGCUAUGAGGAAUAUCAAAGAGAAUUUUAAGAAUGUGACAAGUUUAAGAGAAACAUAUUAUAGCAUAAAGACUAGCAAUUGAACUACGGUAAUGAAUUUAAAUUUAAAUAGAGUAGAGUUUUAGAGCACAGCCUUUGGUUUGAAUCACCAUUCUUGAUGAUGGCUUCUUUUCUUUAUCCCUUGAGAGAACUUCUUCAACGUGAAUUGAAGAGUUUUGGAUUCAUCAUGAUUUUAAAUGCUUUGAACAUUUCGUUCAAAGACAUCCCAUGGUUCUCUUCCCCCUUCUUUCCUCCGUGAGUCUCUUCUUCAAGGGCUUUGUUUUUGUGGUCGCCAUUUCUUCUUGGAAUACUCUCAAGAAGAGAUGGAAGGCAUAAGCCUGAGAAUAAGAGACAAAAAUGAAAGUGUAUGUUACCAAGAAUAAGAGAAUAAAGAGUAUGGACUCAAGAGUGCCAAUGGACAAAGUUCUUAGCUUUGUUUUCUUGAGUUGAGGUUGAAAGUAUGUGGGGUUUAGUAACCGGAAUGGGCAUGAGAAUUGAAGCUGCUCUCUUUCUUCAACACGGGUAGCCAUUAUUUUCUACUCCGGGUUCUUCAAGGUCUAACUCCAAGACGCCAUGAUACUUCCAACGAGUACCAAUCAUGUUGUCUACUUCGUGGACUCCAUGGCUACUCCAAACUGCUACUUAACUUUUGUUUCGGUUUGAGCUCUCUUCUUGAGAUCUCUAGAUCGCUUCUUAGAACAUGUUAAACCAUGAUAGGUUUCACCAUUUUCGAGCCUUGAAACCUUGUACAUCAAUGACUUUGAAGUCUUGUGCACAUUCAAUCUUGAGCUCCAUGACUUUGACACUUGAAUGCGUGAGCUUGAUUCAGCAUUCCCACCAGAUUUCUUCUCUAAUUUGAUCGUCCACCAAUGUCACUUCCUCUCUAACAACCACUUGAGUUCGCUGGCCAGAUUUCUUCUUCGUGUUGUCUUGAGUUUUGACUUGGUUGGAUCGUCUAAAUGGACUUCAAAUAUAACCGGCUCUACUCUUCACUUUCUUAGUCCUUCAUGACUUGUGCUGAAUCCUUUCCUUGUCAACUUUUACUUCCUUGAGGGUCUCAUUGGUCUCUUUGAGGCUCUUAUGGUCUCCUUCACCCUUAAACAAGAGAUAAAGAAGAAAAGAUUAAGUUUUGCCAUAAGGAAUAUCAAAGAAAACCAAAUGAGGAAUUUCAAAGCUAUUAAGCAACAAUUAGGAGUUCUUGAAUAUGAUUAAGCUGUGAAUCUAAGGCAAUGGGUUAAUGAAAAAUGUCAUGAAAUGAGAGUAGAGUUUAGAAACAGCCUUUAUUUGAAGAAGACUUGAACUUUUGCGGUUGGUUCGCCUAAUGGACUUCAAGUCUGAUGGUGAAUGGUUCUAACCCUCCCGCAAACUUAUAGUGCCCAGAUUAUCCAGACCUUAAUCUCGAACUAAUGCAUUCGCCUUCCCUUCAUGAGACAAGCGAUUCCUUGCAAAACAGAUUAGAGUUAAUGGACAACAAAACAAACUUGGUGAAAGAUUAGUGUAAGUGAAUAGAAUGGGCAGAAAUAAAGGAGAAUAAUAGUAUAGUAGACAAUAAAGGAGAAUAGAGAAUAGAGAGUUUGCUCAAGAGUUCAAAUGGACAGAGUUUUGCUCUGUUUUCUUGAGUUAAGCGGAAGCUUUAACAACCAAGGCAUCCAAUAAUCAUCAAGAGUUUGGUGCUUUAAUGGCUGAAACAAUAUGGACCGUUGGGCAAUUCAUUUACCCACCGGUUUAAGACAUAAACACACCGAAAUAACUCAUGACCAAGAGUUUUCCGGUGACUUUAAAGAACUAUGAACCACGAAAUACCAUAUUGAAGAUGAUUUCCGUGGCCUAGUUUUAAAGAAACCAUUGGAACAAAACAGUUUGUCCAAUGGAAUCAUCAAUUUCUCUUCACAUGCUUGGUCUAAGAACUUUAACAAGACCAGAAUCCAAGCUUUUCUCAACAUUGAGCUGCUAGAGAAACGAUUUUAACAAUAAAAGCUGAAACUUUAAAGAAUCUAGUCUAAAGCUGAAACCUUUAAAGAAGCUAAGCAAUUUAACAACUAAGAGAAAUUUAAAACUGACUUGAGAACGAUUUUAAGAGUUCCAAGAGAGCAACCUGCUCUGAUACCAUGUUAGAAUUUAAGAGACUAAGCUCAUAAGAAAGAGUAAACAAUCACUUGGUGAUUGAAUCUCCUUUUAUCCACACAAAGGGAACUCAUUCUCAAGAGGAAGAGACCAUCAACUUGUGAUGGAAUCUACACCAAUAUAGCUUGAUAGAACCGAAAUCUCUAUGGAGAGAAUCGAUCCUAGCAAGACAACUAUCUCUAGUAUGAAGCUAGAUCCUUGAGAAGUAACACAACACUAAAGGUUUGUGUACUUAGAGAGAAACGAAUCUAUGAAUCAUUAACCUAGAGUAAACAACAUAAAUAAGAGAUAAUCAAGAGUUUAAGGUGUAUUUAAGAGAAGUAUGACAAGCAAUAGGCUGCCUAGAGGCAGCCCUAAAUCGUGUAACACUAUCUCUCUACAUUGUAACUCUUUAGUUGAACACAAGUAAAGAAGAGAGAGCUACACGAAUUUGAUAUAAGAGCUUGUCUAUUAAUCUUGUGUGUUCUUUACAAUGAGGCUUCUAGCCUUUAUAUAGAAAGGGAACUAGGUUAAGGUGUCUCACAAUCCCCUUUAAUCCUAGCCCUUCUUUUCUCUCUUUAAAUCUCCACCAUUCAAUUCAAAUAACUUCUAGAAGGUCCAACGGUCAUGUUGACCCAAAAGCAAGUCCAAGUGGCGUCAUAAAGCAAGGCAUAAAGCUACUCUUGUCUUCUUCCUCCUUUUGAACUUGCAACGGCUAUAAGGAAGGCUCGGGAAGGAUCCGGAGGCUUCUAGAUGCUUUGGAAUCUUUGGAUGACUCUUAGAAGGCUCUUAGAAGGCUUGAGAAGAUCCUAAAUGGCCGAUCACAACUUUGUACGGACGGCCUCUCCUUAACUUGUACGGACGGCCUUGUACGGACACGGUGUAAAAGGGUUCUGAUCGGUUGUGCAACCGAUUGGCAUAACCGAUUGGAAGAGAAAUGAGGUUCCGAUCGGUGCACAACCGAUCAGCACAACCGAGCGGCAAUGCACACAUCCUUCUUCACCGUACGGACGAGUGGCUCCGAUCGGUUGUGCAACCGAUCGGACCAACCGAUUGGAAGUUCGGAUGGAUCUUUCUCUUCACUUGGUUCAAUAUUCGUCCUCCCUUACAAAACUUGGGGAAGCCAUAAUAAGCUUGUGUAGGCUUCUUGGAGUCCAAUAUGACAAGAUUGGUGUGUAUGACUGAGUAUGAGAAAGAGAAAUGCAUCCCGGAUCCUGGUUGUUAAAGUACCGUAAAUGCAAAACAAAAAAAACUCAUAGGGACUUCAUCCUCACUUACAAAACUUGUGAAAGCCAUAAUAACCUUGUGUAGGCUUCUUUGAGUCCAAUAUGGCAAGAUUGGUGUGUAUGACUGAGUAUAAGAAAGAGAAAUGCAACCCGGAUCCUAGUUGUUAAAGUAGCGUAGAUGCAAAACAAAAAAACUCAUAGGGACUUCGUCCUCCCUUACAAAACUUGUGGAAACCAUAAUAAGCUUGUGUAAGGUUCUUGGAGUCCAAUAUGACAAGAUUGGUGUGUAUGACUGAGUAUAAGAAAGAGAAAUGCAACCCAGAUCCUGGUUGCUAAAGUAGAGUAGAUGCAAAACAAAAAAACUCAUAGGGACUUCGUCCUCCCUUACCAAACUUGGGGAAGCCAUAAUAAGCUUGUGUAGGCUUCUUGGAGUCCAAUAUGACAAGAUUGGUGUGUAUGACUGAGUAUAAGAAAGCGAAAUGCAACCCGGAUCAUGGUUGUUAAAGUACCGUAAAUGCAAAACAAAAAAAAUCAUAGGGACUUCGUCCUCACUUACAAAACUUGUGAAAGCCAUAAUAAUCUUGUGUAGGGUUCUUUGAGUCCAAUAUGACAAGAUUGGUGUGUAUGACUGAGUAUAAGAAAGAGAAAUGCAACCCGGAUCCUGGUUGUUAAAGUACCGUAGAUGCAAAACAAAAAAAAUGUUAGAAUUUAAGAGACUAAGCUCAUAAGAAAGAGUAAACAAUCACUUGGUGAUUGAAUCUCCUUUUAUCCACACAAAGGGAACUCAUUCUCAAGAGGAAGAGACCAUCAACUUGUGAUGGAAUCUACACCAAUAUAGCUUGAUAGAACCGAAAUCUCUAUGGAGAGAAUCGAUCCUAGCAAGAAAACUAUCUCUAGUAUGAAGCUAGAUCCGUGAGAAGUAACACAACACUAAAGGUUUGUGUACUUAGAGAGAAACGAAUCUAUGAAUCAUUAAGCUAGAGUAAACAACAUAAAUAAGAGAUAAUCAAGAGUUUAAGGUGUAUUUAAGAGAAGUAUGACAAGCAAUAGGCUGCCUAGAGGCAGCCCUAAAUCGUGUAACACUAUCUCUCUACAUUGUAACUCUUUAGUUGAACACAAGUAAAGAAGAUAGAGCUACACGAAUUUGAUAUAAGAGCUUGUCUAUUAAUCUUGUGUGUUCUUUACAAUGAGGCUUCUAGCCUUUAUAUAGAAAGGGAACUAGGUUAAGGUGUCUCACAAUCCCCUUUAAUCCUAGCCCUUCUUUUCUCUCUUUAAAUCUCCACCAUUCAAUUCAAAUAACUUCUAGAAGGUCCAACGGUCAUGUUGACCCAAAAGCAAGUCCAAGUGGCGUCAUAAAGCAAGGCAUAAAGCUACUCUUGUCUUCUUCCUCCUUUUGAACUUGCAACGGCUAUAAGGAAGGCUCGAGAAGGAUCCGGAGGCUUCUAGAUGCUUUGGAAUCUUUGGAUGACUCUUAGAAGGCUCUUAGAAGGCUUGAGAAGAUCCUAAAUGGCCGAUCACAACUUUGUACGGACGGCCUCUCCUUAACUUGUACGGACGGCCUUGUAUGGACACGGUGUAGAAGGGUUCUGAUCGGUUGUGCAACCGAUUGGCAUAACCGAUUGGAAGAGAAAUGAGGUUCCGAUCGGUGCACAACCGAUCGGCACAACCGAGCGGCAAUGCACACAUCCUUCUUCACCGUACGGACGAGUGGCUCCGAUCGGUUGUGCAACCGAUCGGACCAACCGAUUGGAAGUUCGGAUGUUUCUUUCUCUUCACUUGGUUCAAUACUCCCCCGCAAGCUUGAGCGUCGGGACAAUAAGGACCAACGGUCAAGCUUGGAGAUCUUCGGCCUUGUCUUCAUGACUUCGGCCUUGACUCCCUUCUACUUCUUCUUCUCUUUCUUGAAGAUGGCUUGGCCUCUUCGGCCUCUCUCUUCUUUCCUUCUUAUAUUUUAAUACCCUCCCGCACGUUUGAUCGUCGGGACAACAUGAGGACCAGAGAUCAAGCGUGGACUCGUGUCGACUACCUCAUUAAAAACCUUAACAAAGAAAACCACUUGGGAUAAAACUUUGUUAAGGGAAAAAGAGUAUAGCCUUCACGGUCCUUGAUGUCGCUAUGAUCUUGGUUUGUUAAGAACCGGCUC
rnacentral:lncRNA from 1 species